UCUGGGACUAUGUACAGAGGACAAUGAAGUGUUGUGGCUGGGUGUCUCCAGGUAACUGGUUGGAGAACGUGUGGAUCAAGAACAGUUCUGUCUCGCUGUACCCCUGCUCCUGUCGGAAUGAAACCCUGCCUGGGACAGACAUGAAUGAGACUGGGCUCUGUGAACACUGUCUGCUGACCGGCCAGUAUACCAAACGGGCUGCAUGCAUAGUGUGGAGGCCUGGCUGUUGGAGAACUGUGGAGUUAUUCUUGGAAUCUGUGUCGGGGUGGCAGUCCUAGAGGUAUCUAUAACACACACACAAACACACACACACACACACACACACAGUCCCUCCUCGUGUCGUAUGAAUGUCUUGGUAAC